rnacentral:misc_RNA from 1 species
UCCGUAGGUGGCAAGCGUUGUCCGGAAUUAUUGGGCGUAAAGCGCGCGCAGGCGGUUCCUUAAGUCUGAUGUGAAAGCCCACAGCUCAACUGUGGAGGGCCAUUGGAAACUGGGGAACUUGAGUACAGAAGAGGAGAGCGGAAUUCCACGUGUAGCGGUGAAUGCGUAGAUAUGUGGAGGAACACCAGUGGCGAAGGCGGCUCUCUGGUCUGUAACUGACACUGAGGCGCGAAAGCGUGGGGAGCGAACAGG